UCAUGCAGUCGACGGAUUUUUUAAGGAAGUUCCUUCGGGAAUGGAAUUUAAAAAGUUAGUGGCGGACGGGUGAGUAACGCGUGGAUAACCUGCCCAUAGGUUGGGAACAACUCCGGGAAACCGGAGCUAAUACCGAAUAACAUUUAUUGAACGCAUGUUUAAUAAAUCAAAGAAGGCCUCUCGAAGAAGCUUUUGCCAAUGGAUGGAUCCGCGUCUGAUUAGCUAGUUGGUAAGGCAACGGCUUACCAAGGCGACGAUCAGUAGCCGGCCUGAGAGGGUGAACGGCCACACUGGGACUGAGACACGGCCCAGACUCCUACGGGAGGCAGCAGUGGGGAAUCUUCCGCAAUGGGCGAAAGCCUGACGGAGCAAUGCCGCGUGAAUGAAGAAGGCCUUCGGGUUGUAAAGUUCUGUUGAGAAGGAAGAAAGGUAUUAGAGCUAAUACCUCUAGUAUUUGACGGUACUCUUUGAGGAAGCCCCGGCUAACUACGUGCCAGCAGCCGCGGUAAUACGUAGGGGGGCGAGCGUUAUCCGGAAUUAUUGGGCGUAAAGAGUGCGUAGGUGGUAUCUAAAGCGUG
rnacentral:rRNA from 1 species